rnacentral:rRNA from 1 species
ACACAUGCAAGUCGAGGGGCAGCGGGGUGUAGCAAUACACUGCCGGCGACCGGCGCACGGGUGCGUAACGCGUAUGCAACCUACCCAUAACAGGGGCAUAACACUGAGAAAUUGGUACUAAUUCCCCAUAACACUCGAAGAGGCAUCUCUUUGGGUUGAAAACUCCGGUGGUUAUGGAUGGGCAUGCGUUGUAUUAGCUAGUUGGUGAGGUAACGGCUCACCAAGGCGACGAUACAUAGGGGGACUGAGAGGUUAACCCCCCACAUUGGUACUGAGACACGGACCAAACUCCUACGGGAGGCAGCAGUGAGGAAUAUUGGUCAAUGGACGCAAGUCUGAACCAGCCAUGCCGCGUGCAGGAUGACGGCUCUAUGAGUUGUAAACUGCUUUUGUACGAGGGUAAACUCACCUACGUGUAGGUGACUGAAAGUAUCGUACGAAUAAGGAUCGGCUAACUCCGUGCCAGCAGCCGCGGUAAUACGGAGGAUUCAAGCGUUAUCCGGAUUUAUUGGGUUUAAAGGGUGCGUAGGCGGUUAGAUAAGUUAGAGGUGAAAUCCCGGGGCUUAACUCCGAAAUUGCCUCUAAUACUGUUUGACUAGAGAGUAGUUGCGGUAGGCGGAAUGUAUGGUGUAGCGGUGAAAUGCUUAGAGAUCAUACAGAACACCGAUUGCGAAGGCAGCUUACCAAACUAUAUCUGACGUUGAGGCACGAAAGCGUGGGGAGCAAACAGGAUUAGAUACCCUGGUAGUCCACGCAGUAAACGAUGAUAACUCGCUGUCGGCGAUACACAGUCGG